AGGGGGGGGGACACUUCCCGUUUGUCCGUGUGCGUGCCGCCGUGUGCACCGCUGGGGACGGGUCCGCCGCUGCAGCCGGCCAGGACAGACAGUGCGCACUUGUCUCCUCAAACGGCGGCAUGGCAUGUUUCCCGGCCCUUCCCUGCCUGUCUUCUUAUUCUAGGAUUCUGGGGCGCCAGGUCUCGCAUGUGUUGGUCUGUGAGUGGAAGCUUCAGUAAUGGUGGAACAGGAGAAAACCAGAAGAGGAGAACCAAGAGUCCCAGGAGACGCUAUCAUGUGAAACCUCAAGGUCCGAAGUGCCUAGAACAGUGUCCUGUAUAUGGGAGACAUUCCAGACACAUUUACUGAAUGAAUAAAUGAAUGAAUGGCUCUCAAGUCAAGCUGGCUGGGUUCACAGUCUGCCCCUGCCAUCUACUAGCAAUGUGAUGCUUCCCAGGCCUUGCCUCCAGCACAACGGAUGCAUUUCAGGGGCAGCAGCUGCACUUGUCUGAGCCCCCUUUGCAGAUGCAGCCCCGGGCACACUUGGCACAGCCCGGGGGGCAGCAAGGACAGCAGCCUGAAAAGGUCACAGGACAGACAGAUGCAAAUUCCUCCUAGAAGAGAAGACAGAGCCACAAGCGUUAAGGACUGAGAUCAAACGAGGACACAAGGUGUGCUGCAGAUCGUCCCUGUGGCAAGGGACCCUCUAGACGUAUGAGCCCCACCCCCUGGAGCAGCCUGGAGCCAUUGGUUCUAUUAUGCUGAUUUAUACACUGACCUCUCUCUCUAGACUGCAUGCUUCUCAAAAACGAAGUCAGUCCGUAUUAAUCUCAGCAUCCCCGUGGCCAGGCACACUGAGCGCUGGCACACAAGAUCCAAAAAUGUGAAGCGUGCGGUGUGCGGAGGCAGUGGAGAACCAGAUGUGCGCAUCCUGCGGGCCAACCACGACAGCAUCCAAAAUGCAGGGGCGCCCGGGUGGCUCAGUCGGUUGGGCGGCCGACUUCGGCUCAGGUCAUGAUCGCGCAGUCCGUAAGUUCGAGCCCCGCAUCAGGCUCUGUGCUGACAGCUCGGAGCCCGGAGCCUGUUUCAGAUUCUGUGUCUCCUUCUCUCUGACCCUCACCCAUUCAUGCUCUGUCUCUCUCUGUCUCAAAAAUAAAUAAAAACGUUAAAAAAAUUUUUUCAAAAUGUGAAAGCCUACGUGCUUCCAGGAAGCACCUCCACUUGUAGGAGAUUAUCCUCUCUAUGUAUUUAUUUGCACAUUGUGCACAAAGAAGUGGGUACAAUUCAUUGUAAUUUUGCUUAUAAAAGAUUGGAAAAGGACUAAACUGUCCAUGACAAUGGGGGUUGGUUCAAAGAAUCAUGACACAGCAGUGCAAUGAAAUUCUAGGCAGCCCUUAAAAAUAUGUCUUCAUAUAGAGGGAUCAUGAAGAUACAUAGUGUUAUCUGAGGAAAGGCAAGGUACAGAAUGGUGUGCACAUCAAGAUACGAGAUGCCACCAUUUGUGGGGAGAAAGCAAGGAGAGGCUACCUAGACAGUCCACGUUCGUGUACGGACAGAAUACAUCUGCAAGGAGACGCAAGAAACAUGUAAUGGUGGUGGUGACCUCUGCGAGGGGUGCUGGGGAGCUGAGGAGGCAGACUUACGCUGGAAUAGGCAUUUAUAGCAUUUGAAUUGCUUUUACCAAAGGGGAGUCUGGCUGGCUCUGCUGGUAGAACAUACAUGGCCUCUUGAUCCCAGGGUUGUAAGUUUGAGCCCCACGUUAGGUGUAGAGAUUACUUCAACAACAAUGAAAAGAACUAGGCUGAAUUACUUUUACCAUAUUACUUUUUCAAAAGGAAAGGAAGGAAGGAGGGAAGGAGGGAGGGAAGGAGGGAA